rnacentral:lncRNA from 1 species
AAAUUGGCAAGGAGAUUCGAGAUCCCUGACUGGUAACUCAUUUUACAUCAUUGAGCCAGUCAGCAUGGCAGUACGAUGCAAGUAGGAACAUGCCAGUAGUGCAACCCAUGAGAAGGAGAUGAUAGCUAAAUAGCUUAGGUGGUCAGGUUAGCUGCAAGAAGGUAGAUGACUCCAGAGGGCACAGAUUAACUGAAUGACAGUAUACUGAAAUUAGCAUAUAGAAUUUUGAGGUGGUUGCAGAGAGAUUGUGAUUCAGAGAUGAAAGGCACAAAGGCAGUUGUAGUGUUUUGGCAUCCUGGUUUGUGUUCACAGUGCAUGCAUUUUUAGUUGUUCUACUCAAAGAACUCUUGAACAUACUUGUCGACAGGCAUGAUCUGAUGAUGCCCAACUUGUGCACCACUAGCAAGUGGCAACAUGUUGUAGAUAGUCAGAUGAAAAUCAAUGUAGCAAAUUUCUAGUUCCCAAUUCUACAGAUUCGACAGUCGCAGAUUCGACAGAAUCACUCCACCAACAUUUAUCCAGUUUUCAAUCGAUUAUAGCUGAAACUGAACUGCAAUCACCAAAAAUAAAACUGCUACUUUGUAAACUGAACUGCAAUCAAACUAAGCACACUGCACACAAAAUCCGCCAUGAGCUUGCAAUAGUAGAAUUCAGGUACACUGCACAUUAUAUCAGUUCAGAAACAAACUAAAUCCACCAUGAGCUUGCAGUAUAGCAUAAGUGAUAGUACUCGUAACAUUCAGGUACACUUAAGGCUUGAUUUUUUCUGCUAGGUCUGGUUUACUGAUUAUAUCUUGGUGUCCCACAUUUGUAUCUAUGCAGCAAAGGGUUAAAUCUUCAGGGACCACUAUCUAUGGAGAUGUCAGAACUGAUUGUAC